ensembl:lncRNA
UGGAGGAACUCGCGGGAGCAUUAAGCAGUCAGUACUGACUCUUAGAAUGACGUGAGUCUCUCCGCUCCUCUGAUGCCAACUUUCCAUCUUGCUAGGGUCGAAGAAGUCUGGGUCGGGGUGAAUAGGUACCAUCUUUGUUCUUAGAGGUGCGUGGUAGGGGCCUUGUUCCUGAUGCACACAAAGGCUAUUUCAGUCAUUUGAACACAUCGGAAGAGUUUAGGUUAGAAUUUUAAAGAAACGUAUGAAUUCUCGUUCCCUUCAAAUCUCAAUUCUCCUCCAUGAUAUAAAAUGAUCUUCUUUAAAAAGAUCAUAAAAUGAUCCCAUCUUACCCGAUCCAAAUGCCGAACAACAAACGGUCCACAUUUACCACGAGGAAGAGGGUUAAAACGUGCUCUCCAAUGACAACUCCCAACCCGGAACAGAUUCCAGCCAGGCAGCUAGCAGAGCUCGCUGGGUAAACGGCACAGGCCAUCGUGGGUGCAGAGCUCAGAGCCGGAAAGCAAACAGCUGCUGUAGCCUGAUUUGAGUUAAAAUAGUGUGAGUGUUUAGUCUGGCGCACGGCUUCAGGGGAGAUUGGCAGCUGGGUCAAACAAAGUCCUUCCAUUGGCUCUCUUCCCAGGCAGCUUCUGCUAGUAUUUAGGUACUAGUGCAGUGGAAGGCCCUUUUCUCAGGCAAAACCUAACAUCUGACCGCACCCUCUCUGCUUUUUCCAAAAAAAAAAAAAAAAAAAGCUUCUUUUUCCUUCUUUCGUUAAGAUAAAUUCUCCAGUAGACAACCUCUCCCACUAAUUGUGUAUUAGCAAUGUAUUUUAUCUUGAGAGCUGACGCACUGGGCUCUCGACGUGGUGUGGAAAGCAGCCUGUUACAGUGCUGGAUUCAUAAAAGGGUCUUUAUGGUUUGUGAAAGAAUAUCUGUGUGCUUGGGCAGGAAACUUUUUGAUCUGCAGAAAAGCCAGAAGACAUCUAGGUAAGGCUACGUAUCAAAUCUACUUUUUUGGGGAAAAGUUGGGCAGCGAGAGUGAUUCGUCACAGUGGACGUGAGUCUGGAAGUGUGCAUGUUCACUUUCGGAGAAGUUUAAAAGGAUAUCCUUGAAGAUUAAUCAGAGAACCUUUCAUUCACCCAUAAAGGUAGGAAAAAGAAAAUUUUUCUGGUUAUAAAAUAUGCUGUGUUUGUUUUAGCUAUCUUUCAAUGAUUUACUCCUCUUGUUACAUAGAGAUAGAAUUGAUGUCGCUUAUUCUGAAUAACUGAAAAGUAUAUUAUACCUACCUACUUGCUAAACUUGAAAUCAUCCAACACAUAGUGUUUAAUCAGUUUGAAUUUUUCUUCCAUGCUAUUGCAUACCAUUAUUACAGUUUAUGUUUUACUGUACACAGGGUUUAUUCUUUCUUUUACAUUUUUGUGUUAUCCCCUCCAUAAUUUUAGGGUAGCUUAAUAUUACCACAUAUCAGGAAGGUAAUUUUAUAAUAUAUUCAUUUAUAUAUAUCAAUAUAUGUAAUAUAGUGUUAGAAGCUGAGAUUCUCUUGUCUACCAUUAUUUCGUAUUUUUGUUCCUAUUUUAAACCUGUAAUCUUUUGAGAAAAAACAAAGUAACCAUAAGUGUAAUUAGCUGUCAGUGAUUUAGUAAUAUAAAUGUUAAUUUGGAAGAAUUUGCUUCAGUAUUAGCCUUACUUAUUAAGAGUGCCAGAAAAUGUGGCCCCUUUCUUGGCUACAAUGUAUGUGAAGAUAAAUUUAGAAUUUCUAGUCUAGUAAAUACUUCUCUGAUAAUAGCUUAAUUGUAGCUAUUUCAAACCAAAUUGUUUAAUUGUGGUGAAUCAUAUGCAAAUUGUUCAGAUGUAGGUCAACUCCCACUCUCACAUUCUAGCAUCUUUUCUAAUUCAGGACAAACUGCUCAAUGCCUAAAAGAAGCAGAACAGUACAGAUUAAAAGCAGGAGACAAAAAACAAAACAACAAUAAAAUAAAAACCAACAGUGGCGCAGGAGUCAGAAAGUUCCCAUAAAAAUGGCAAGGCAGAUUGCAUUUAUUUAUACCUUAGUUGAUGAUCCCUUUUGCCUGCUAUGUGUCUGUAGAUGUUAGUUUGCUCGCUGCUCAUGGGAUGUGUGGCUUGCCUGGCACAUCAUGGUUCCUCUAGGAUGCUAAGUUUCCUCAUCUGUAAAAUACAUGUACUAAUAUCAUUCUUGUCUAUUCAUUGAACUGCAAUGAGGAUCCAGUAAGACAAGGAAUGUAAAAUGAAUGUGUGACUCCUGUAAUCCUAUAUGGAAAGAGCAUGUUAUUUUUAACAAGCUGGGUUAGUGACAGAUGUGUGGGUCACACUCAUGGGAAGGAAUACCUGGGUAGCUCUGGCUGAGGCCAACUGAAAUAUAUUGCAGUUGUAGAAGCUAAAGAAAUCCUUCAUUUUUCUAAUUGUUGCAUUAUAGUUCUAACCAACUGUUGCCUUCGUGAUGAAGCGUUGUAUCAUUUUCCGGUGAAUGGCUGAGAUUUUAUGAUUCCAUUUCAUUUCUGCAUGUUGUCUACUAUACUUUCAAAGAGAAAUUUUUAUUUCUAGUUACUACCGCAUUGAAAAAUGAUAGAGCAGAUUCAUGAAUUUGUUACAUUUGUUGUCUUUUUUCUUUAGGUGACUCUUGCCGAUGUUUUUGGUAUAUUGACAGAAAAUAGUGAGCCUUGCUGGUUAUUGAUGAAAAACUAUUAUUUUGGUUUUAAUUCUAAUAUAAUUAGAAUUCUGCCUUAAUGUAACCAUAAUUCUUUUAUCAUUCUUCUUCCCUGGAAUUUGAUUGUUCAAGAAUUUGAAUUUAUAUUUUUACAUAAUUUAUGAUCGUCAACAUUUUCUAAAAUUUAUUUUGAAUUAAAUUAUUCAUUCUGGAUAAUUAUUGAAGAAUUAUUGAAUCAAAUUAUAGAAUUAAAAAGUAACAAUGACUUUUCUAAUUCUUAGAGUGGGGAAAAAUAGAUGGCAUAUGCUAUGUACUUCUUCCAAUAUAAGUAUCUUUGUGUUUGAAUUAUUUAAAAUCAUAAAAAAUAGAGGGGCCGUCCCCAUGACCGAGUGGUUAAGUUUGCAGGCUCCACUUCGGUGGCCCAGGGUUUCACCAGUUCAGAUCCUGGGCACAGACCUAGCACUGCUCAUUGAGCCGUGCUGAGGUGGUGUCCCAUGUAGCAGAACUAGAAGGGCCUACAACUAGAAGAUACAACUAGGUACUGGGUGGUUUUGGGGAGAAGAAGGAAAAAAAAAAAGAUUGGCAACAGAUGUUAGCUCAGUCCAAACUUUAAAAAAAAAAAAAAGAGUAAAACAAAAAAAUAGAAUUAUACUAAAUAGAAAGUAAUAUUUCCCUCAAAAUUAGCCACUGCUAAAGUUUCGGUGUUUAUUCUUCCAAAUUCCUUCUUCAUAUACAUAAACAUCGAGAUCAAUAUUUUGUGUACACUGUGCUUUCAUACCAUAUGCAUGAUUCUGUUUUUUAAAAUUUUAAUUAUGAACAUCCUUCUGAGUCAAAAUGCAUUUUCUAUUUCAUCCUUUUUAAUGACUGCAUACUAGGCAAAUUUUUUGAUGUACCAUGAUUUAUUUAAUAGGCCCUCCAAACUUUUUUUUAAAUAGUACCCUAAAAUAGAAUGAAAGAAGACAUUCUUUAAUUACACUUUUGGCAGGCAUACAAAAGAAUAAUGCCCAUUUGUACACUGAGUCAGGAAAUUAAGGAGCAAAGAAAAAGUGUUACAGUAAAGAGGCAUACAAAAUAUUAUCAAGUAAGUGCACAUAAAUGGUCAGGGGAAGGAAAAGCUAAUAAUACAGAUGUUCAUGCAAAAGUGUUGUAGUUAUGUAAAACUAAGAUUAUGCUAAUUUCUUCAAGGUUCACCCCAAGUGAUACCUCCUUCAUAAGCAUUCAAGGAGACUCUUGCCUUCAUCCUCAUUCUUAUCAGUUGUCUUACAUCUCCAUAACACUUUGGGAAAAAUUGACCUUAUCAUAUGAUGUCACAUAUAAAAAUUCAUUUUGCAUGUAUCUUUUUUCCCCUACAAGGCUGUUAACUCCUGGAGGGUAAUGACUGUGUGUUAUUCAUCUUUGAACCUAACAGAUGUAAAAUCAACCUUCAGUUAAAUUGGAUUGAAGUGUGAGAAAAGAGAGUAAUCAGGUAGCAAUGUUUAAUCUUACCAAAAUUUUAUAAGGUACCACUAUCUGCCUCUCUAUUGUCUCUGGAGUAAAUUAUCGUCAAUUCUUCUGAUCAAUGAGACACAAAUAAGAUAAAGAAAUGGUUUCUGAUAUACAGUGAAAAUUAUUUUAAAUUGAACUUUAAUGAUUCUUUGUGGCAGUCAUGCUCAAAAUCAUACCUACAAGUCAAGCAUUUAUUCAAAAUGUCUAAGUUUAUGAAAAAAUACUUGUAUGGUGUUGAACUUUCUUAUAUGGUACUUCAUGUGGAUCUAAAAGCAUUUUGUCAGCUUUAAAGCAUUAUACACAAGCAAGACAUUAUUAUUAUUGUUAAGACGGUAGUAAAAUGGUUCUGUGGAUUAAGAAUAUGGAUGGUUAUUUACAAAAUAGACGUAAAGUAUUAAAAAAAAUUCUUUAUGUGAAUUCUCUCAGAAGAAAGGGAGUAUCAUUUUCAGUACUUUGUAUAAGUUGCUACUCACACCAUUUAAAUGAAUCUUUGACAUUGUCUCAACCAGCAAAAGUAGAAUUAUUAAUAGUUCGAAUUAUACUUGAAUGAAUGCCUGGUUCUACGUUAGUCUGAAUUCAAUGGUAAUGUAAUUUUAAAAUAUCUGAACAGGUGUACCAAUAUCAGUUUCCAUUGCAGAAAAAUUGAGAAUUAGUGGGUAUAAAGGUCUCUUGAAACUGAAUGUAAUGCCUAGCACAUGGUAAUUUCUCUCCUCAUCUGACUUGCAUUAAGUCAACUGGUUCCAACUCUGAUUUUACAUGUUUUUCACUGGGCAAGUCAGUAAGAAGGGAAAACUCUUGACCAGUCUUUUCUAAAAAUGCAUUUUUGAGCUUGUUGACCUUUUAAAACCCAGAGCGUGAAACUUAGUAUUUCAAAUGCAUGCUUUUGCAUUGUCUUUGUUCUCAAAGCUCUGCAGUCUUUGUUAGCUAUUUGGCCAGGACUGCAAAUGCAAGGACCUUCAAGACCCAUACACACAACAGAAGUGAGUGCAACAAACCAACAUCAGGCAGUAGAGAGUGGUGUGGACUUCUAAACAGAUGAUCAUAUGCUUAACAUAUGAGGCCUACUUCUACUCAUUCCAGUCCAAUUUUAUAUUCAUUUGUAUAUUCCAGUGGCCAUAACUUCUGAAGGUAGAGGGAGUUUAAUAUUGGAAUUUUUAUGUGAAAUCUCAUGGUUUUUGAACAUUGGCUCACAUUUUUAAAAUUGAGAAAACAACAAACCUUGUAAAGGAGUCAGGACAUGCCUUAGGUAGGUAAUUUGUUACCUUUGCGUAGAUACUGUGUAAAUAUUUUCCCAAUCAAUGAAUGAGUCAUGGACCUCUAUAAGAAUUGGGAAAUUAAAGAACACUCUAAGCUUUGUUCUCCCUUGUCCAUUAGAAGUUUCUUAGAAUAUUUGAGGAAGGACCAUCGUCAGAGCAACAAAUGUGGAGACCUACAGUUAAACCUUUUCAGUCUGUCUCUGAGUUCCAGAAGCCAGAAAGACCAGAAAGGGGAGAGCAAGAGUGAACCAAGUAAACUAAGAAAGUAUUGUUAAAAUGUAUUAUGAUAUGCAAAAGAAUGAUGGCUAAGAAACAUCAUUUUUGGACACAUUUUUAUCUGACCCCCAACUUACCUUAUGCUACUAAUUUGUUACUGUCUUUUAUUUGAGCUUUCUGCAAAUCUUUAGUCUUUUAUUCACCUUAAAAGGAAGUGAAGAAUAAAGAUAAUGGAUUAAAAGGAAGUCAAAUGCAUGGGGGACGACAAAAAUUAAAGAUGCAGAUCCUGUCACAUAAUCAUUACUGAGUAAACAAAGAUCCAAUGGACCCUGGUUUGUUUUCCAUUCUGACCUAAGAUUUACUUCCUUUUUGAGAUCUCUCCUGCUUUCCUUCUGGACAGACUCACCCUUCCCUCUUCCCUGUCAGUCCUUUGUUAUACUACCACAUAUUUCACUGUACUUAAUGUACUUAAUCUAUUUACUUACAGUUGCUCACGUGUCUCUCCUCCCAAGUACACCUUGAGACCAGAAAUAAUACCUUUAAAACUUUUUUGGGGAAACAAUCAUAAACCAGUAGAAAAUUUGCAAGUGCAGUGCAAAGAACCAUUUGAAAGUAAUUUGCCAACCAAAUGCCCCAUUACCCUCAACUACGUUAGGACAUGUCUCCUUACAAACAAGGACAUUUUCCACAUAACCACAAUGAAUUCAUCAAUAUCAGGCUCUGAGGACUGAAUUAUGCCCCCCAAUACCAAUGUUGAAGCCCUAAUCCCCAAUGUAAUGGUAUUUGGAGAAAGAGCCUUUGGGAACUAAGAAAGUUUGAUGACAUCAUGAGGAUGGAGCCCACAUGGUAGGAUUAGUGCCAUUAUGAGAAGAGACACCAGAAAGCUUGCUUCCUUUCUCUCUCUCCCUGCCUUGUGAGGACACAAGCAAGGAAGAGAGUUCUCACCAAGGAAUGGAAUUGACUAGCACCUUGAUUUGGACUUCUCAGCCUCCAAAUCUGUGAGAAAUAAAUUCCUGUUGCUUAAACCACCCAGUCUAUGAUAUGUUGUUAUGGAAGCCGAGCUGACUGAUUCUUCAGGAAAUUAACAUUGAUACAUUGCUACCAUCUAAUUCUCAGAUCCCAUUCAAGUUUCAUCAGUUGUCCAAAUAAACUCCAACUACUGUCCUUUGGAGUGUAAGAGUGUUUCCAAAUGAUGUGCCUCAUUCAGCAGUCACAUUUUAUUAGUCUCUGUAAUGAGUGUGGAAAAGUCCCACAGCCUUUCCUUGAUUUUCAUGACCCUGAUACUUUUAAAGAUUUCAUUCCAGCUGUUUUGCAAGAAAGGCCUUUAAUUUGGAUUUGUCUGAUGCAGGGACUAUAUUUUAUGCAAGUUUGGAUCCUAGGAUCUAGGACAGUGUCUGGCAUAUAGAUGAUGUUCAAUAAAUGCUAGCUGGGAAAUGAAUUAGUGAUUAAAUACCUCUUCUGGGAAACUCUGAAUCACUUGAGUAAUGCUAAUAACAACUAUUUCAAAACUUUAAAGAGAAAAAUGUAAAAACAUGUGCAAAAUAGGGGGGAAAACCCAACUCUGGUGUCUUCCUGUAGUGGUAUUGAGGUCUGUUCUUUAAUUCACUUAGUGAGCAUGCAUACACUAGCCACUCUGCAAAGUGAGACUAAUUUCUUUAGAGAGGGCUUCUCAAAGUGUGGUCUGUGGAAUGUUUCCAGUUGACACACUGUUUCUGGUUCAUGAUGACAUAAGUAGAGAAACUAGGAAUAAGCAUUUAGAAACCUUUUUAGCAUUUUGACAAAGUGAUUCUGUUUCUGCUGAAUCUAAUAAUUCUAAAAUGUUGUAUUAAAUAUGUUUUAUUUGCCUUUUUUAUUCCAUCUAUCUAGUAAUUUAUGUACAUUGUAUUUCCCAUAAUUAUUGAUUCACAAUGGAUUAGAAAUUAAAAAUCUGGUCAUUUACCACAAUUUUUGGUCAUUCCCAUCAGAGUAGAGUGGGACAAAUGUGAGUUAAAAUAUGGUGGGAUUUGACCUGGAACCUGAAGAAUGUGUUGGAUCUUUCUAAUUUAUAAAGAAAUUGUUGUUGUUAGUGCUGUCAAGUAAAGUCCGACUCCCAGCGACCCUGUGUACAGCAGAGCAGAACCUGCCCAAUAUUUUUUUGCACCAUCUUCUCACCUUCUUGCACUAUGUCAGACAAUGCUCCACUGCUAUUCAUAGGGUUUUCAUGGCCAAUUUUUUCAGAAGUGGGUGGCCAGGUCCUUCUUCCUAGUCUGUCUAAUCUGGAAGCUCUGCUGAAACCUGUCCACCAUGGAUAACCCCGCUGGCAUUUGAAAUACCAGUGGAAAAGCUUUCAGCAUCAUAGCAACACACAGCCACCAUAGUACGACAACCGACAGACAAGUGGUGUGGUUCCCUGAUCAGGAAACAAACCCAGGCCACAGCGGUGAGAGCCCUGAAUCUUAACCACUAGACUACCAGGGCUAACCUUAUAAAGUAGAGAAAUGGGCAAUUCAGGCAUAGCAAAGUUUAAGAGUAUGCAUAUAUGUGUGCCUGUGUGCCAUUGUAUUCAUGCUUUUGUGUAUGGGGUGGAUAUCAAAAGACAAGAACUUUAAAAGAUGCUAAGAGCUCAUGAUUCCAACACUGGAUGAUAGCAACUCCUCCCGCAUCUGAUUUCAUUGCAUCCCAAAUCAUUGAUUCCAGUAGUAUUCCCCUCUAUAGAACAUUCUCUUGUUCUCCCUUUCCUUUCUGAAUUCAUUCUCUCUCUCAACCACCAGAAACCUAGAAUUCUCAUUGCUGAUAAAAAUGCUAAUAAGUUUCUCUGACCAAGAACGUGUCCAGUGCUGCUAUUACCGCUUCUAGAUGACAGAGCCUAGGCACAGAUUUCCAAAUAUUUAGAUGAAGAGAGAAGAGAUGUAGAUAGAAAAGAGGAAAAAUGUUGAGAGAAAGAAUAGAGGGACCAUAAGAAAUAAUGAUAUGGGAAAAAGAAAACCUGAAAGGAAGGAAAUAAAUGAUUGCAUUAAGUUUAAUUUACAUUGGCAACUUUCAAUCUCAGUAACCUUCAAUUCAGUUUAAAACAUAUUUAUUAAGUAAGUGUCAUGGACCAGACACUGGACUCGGGAAAUAAAAAGAAUAAUAAGACACAAGAACUUGCCCUAGAGUGACCACAGUGUUUUGGGUAAGACAGAUAAGCAAAUGCGAUUUCAGUGUAGUGAUUGGGACGUUCAUUGGGGUAUUUGCAGGUACCCCGGUGGAGAGGUGGUAGACAUACCUCUCAGGUUUCUCAGAGGAGAUGAUGCCCAGGAAGGGUCUGGAUGAAAACUAAGCUAAAUUGAAAAAGCAAGAUGGUGAAAGAGCACAGCUUGAUGAUCAGCGUUCAAUCCAGGAGCUGGCAUGGUGUUGGUGCUUAAUAAAUAUUUGUUGAAUGAAUGAACAACUUCAUUAGUUAGAAUUAGCUGACAAACUAGAGGUAAAGGCAACUUUAGGAAGGAAGGAAGAGGCAGGGGCAUGGAAGCAUAAAACAGCAAUGGUGAGGAGCGGGAGGGGUAAGAUCUGCAGUCCUCCCUAGUGGAGAAAAAUUGUGUGACAGGGAGAGGUGAGUUGAGAAUGGAGACGUUCAGUAGAAGCCAGGUUAUGGAGACGUUUCUUGGGAAUACGAAGCCCCCAGGCUUUGUCCAUGGGUAACAGGAAUGUGACAUUGUGAGAUUUGAAUUGCUGUUUGAUCGGAAAUGACUAAGUGCAGAGGAGACAGGACAGACGUAGUGGUACUACUUAGGAGACCAUUUCACUAGUCGUAGCAAGAACAGACAAAGACCUAACAGAGCAAUAGAGGAAGGGAUGGAGAAUGGCGGACGGGCAUUAGUGUACAGAUUCAGGAGUCAUUUGAGAAGCAGAAUCAGUGGAGCUUUCACUUAUUUAAUGGAUAGUGGAAGGGGAGGGGUAAGUCACAGUGUGAAGACAAAGGAUGAAAACUGGGACAAUUCCCAUAUUUGUGAUUUGGGCUCCUGGAUGGAUGAUGAUAUCCUAAAUGGAGCUAACGUGUAUGAGAGGAUAAAUAAGCUGUUGGAAAGUAGAAAGAGACAUAAAAAGGAAUCCAGUUUUAGACAGAAGAGGGAAGGUCAAAACUGGAGAAAUGUCUGUAUAUAUUUUUGUAUGGGUGUAUAUGUAAUAUUGCAGGUAUGCAUAUAUAGCAAGGGUUCAAUGUGUCAACUCUGCUGCACAGAGUCAUAUAAAAGCUUUACUUUCUCAUUAACUUAUUGCUGUCAAAUUAACUUAUUGCUUGAAUAUAUCAUUUGAAACUCUAAUAAUUCAUUCCAUAUUUCAAAAUGUACCACAGACAGAGAAAAAUGCUGUAGCUUAAAACUGAUUCCAGACUUGUGAAAACAUCAUGCGUCUCUACUACCAAAGCAAAAGGGGAAACCGUGCCAAUUACAUGCCUGAACCUGUUUCGGUUUCAAUUACCUGGAUUAUUGAGGCAGAAACAACCGUUGUGCCUAAUUUACCCUUAUAAUUGCCUUAGUUCUCUGCUUUGCCUUGCUCGUGGGCAUAUUUCCAUGUUAUACUAUUAUUAGAAAGGCAAAUUCACUUCCUUUUUUGGUGGUUCCAGAAGAAACACUUAAAAUAUUCUUUACAAUUCAGAGAAUUAACAUUUUAUAAGCCUUUGUAUUUAAAGAGUAAUAUACUAAGCAGAGGGAAGACAGUAAACCAGUAAUCACUUUGUAGUCAUCUUGCGAUGACUCUUACUCCUUUUUACAUAAAACCUCAGUGAAUCAGCCUUAUCAGGAGUGACCUUUGAGCACCUCCUGAUUUAAGGUAUCCAAAGAAACCAAAUAUAUGAACUCUCCAUAUAUUUGACUCAGUGUUGUAAAGGUUAGGUCUUCUGGUAACUCAUGCACUUGCGGUGAAACUCAAACUGGGUUAGUCAGUGGGAAGAGAAGACCUACCCCCCCAGUCUCCCAGCUACAAAUUCAGCUUUUCUAUACAGCAGUCUAAAACCUAAGAAUUUCAACUAAAUGGAGACAUUAACAGCACGGCCAUCAUCAUAUCCCUAAUAUUUCACCCGUAAUGCCCGCUCAGUAGUUUUUUUCAAUGCAGUUAAUGGGAAAACCAGAAUGGUAAGGUAGUGCAUAAAUAAAUUAUGAUUUUCACAAAUUACCUUUUUGGAUUAUCUUUUAUACAAGAGGUAGACAAGAUUUAUGUGAUGUCACUUCUUUUGUCCUGCAGACAGUCAGUGAAAAUGGAUGUCAAGUUUUAGUAGUCGGUUUUGCUUAACUUUCUAAAAUAUGUAGAAUCCAAAAUACAUAAAUCUAAGUUGAGUGUUUUAAAACUCACUUAGAAAUAUGUAACUUGAUAUUUAAUUUAAAUUCAUAAAGUGUGUAGGUAACCUCCCUCAUUUAUUUUCAUCUAUCCAAGUGUUCAUUCAUUUGUGGAUUUUAUCAAUGAGUAUUGAGCAUACACUAGGGAGUAGGCACUGUACAAAGCUUUGGAGACUCAUAGGCAUAAGUCAGAUCGUCUGUCCUCAGAAGGAUGCAAUACAGAUCUAAAAGCACAAGAGGACGGACUUUUAACCCUAAUCUGACCCAAAAGGCUCAGGUAUGGUUUCCCAGAGGAGAGGAUCUGAAUAUGGAGAUUUGAAGAGUCAGACAGAUUGACAAGAUGGAUAAGGGAGUUCCAGGUACCCUAAACAAAUAUUGAUGGCAGGAAAAACACACUUGAGGAAUAGCAGUAUGGUGCUUGGAAUGCAGAGAGCAAAAGGGAGAGGGCAAGACAAGUAGGCAUGUGCCGGAUCACGAGAGUUUGAAUGCAAUGCUAAUAACUUUGGAUUAAAUUCGGAAGAUAGUGAAGAACAAACGAAUACAUUUAAAGAAUGGGCAUUCACUGACAGAUUUCCAUAUUACAACAAUCCCUGGAGGUUUUUGCAACUGUGAAAACUAAGUAAAUUGAUCAAACAAGAGAGAUCAAGAAAGGAGAGUGAUCAAUAAAGAGAAGAGUGAGAAGAAGGUACAGUUGUAUAGGUUUUCAAGAGAUAUUUUAGCUAUCAAAUUGACAAAACUUCACCAUUUGGUGUGUGGGAGGUUAGCACAAGCUGGAAAUCUUAGAUGAGUCCCCAAGUUUGCAAGGAGGCUGGGUAGAUGAAAGCACCAUUAACUGACUCCAAAGAACAAGCUUGGGGGAAAGAUGAUGCAUUGAUGAUGAGAGGUUGAUGUAUUCUGUGAUGGAAGCAGACUAUUGAAUUGAUAAAACUGGCCCUUGAGAGAGAAAUGUAGCUAGAGUUAGUGGUUUGGGUAUAAUCAGUAUAACGAUGUAGGUGGAAGUUAAUUUAUUGAUGUAAAUGGGAUAGUCCGGCAGUAUAUUUAUGGCAAGAAGUGAACAUCGCUUGAAACAAUGAUGAGCAGUAGAUGACAUGAAAUUAUAAAUGCAGGACUGACGUGACAAAAGUUUCACCUAUAAUCUUAAUGUCUUUGAAUAUUAUUGUGGGAUGACUUCUUUAAUAGAUGCCUUGUAUUUUGAAAGACAAAGAGCCGAAGUCUAGGAAAAUUCUUUCCAAAAUAAAAGGAAGAGCUCUCAAAUCUUAAUAUUUGUUCCAUUUCUGUAAAUCUUAUUUUUAAACAAUCCACUUUAUAUUUUGACUCCCGUGUUCAAACCCGUCCUGUUAGUAUGAGAGCACAAAAACAUGACCAAAGGUUGCUUAGCAGUCAGGAUCCCACUUCUUCUUACCAGAUUUUUGGUUUUUUAUAAUUUUAUAGCACUCAACUUGUUGAAGAAGAGCAACCUUCUCCAAGAGUGAAGUUUUCAGUGAUCUAACUCACUCAGCCAUGGCAAUGUUUUCCUGCAUUAGCUCAUCAGAAAGAAUGCCAAUGACAUAAAAAUAAAUGGGAGCAAAAAUAAAUUAAAUAUUUGACCUUAAUAACAUAUUGCUCAACUCCUAUUUUGUUUAAUGUCACCUUCACAUGAAUUAGCCUAAUCAAAAAGAGUGAUUUCAUUUUCUACACUGUAAAACAGAGUUACAGAAAGGUUAAAUGACCACAGAAAGAAAUGUAGGCUGAGGAGGCACUUUUUUCUUUGAGAAUUAAAUAGAUUUUAGGCAGCUAUUAAUCUUAUAAAAUGUAUUUUAGGCCAAUAUUUUAGUCAAGCUAAUAUUCUACUUUUAAUUAGACCUAUACACAUUAGUGAGAUCUCUGUGAGACAACACGAGGUUGAAUGCCAUAAAGAUGAAUCAAUUCCAUAGACUUGAAAUUUUUUAGGAUUCAUUAUUACUCAGAUUUAACUAUAUUUCAUCAUCAUCUAGAGAUUAUUUAAGUGAAUCGAUGAAAUUUUAUCACAACUAGAGAUAAAACCUAAUUACUUAAUUUGAUAAUAGCUUUUUUCUAAUUUGUCUGAAAAUUGUAUCAUUUUCAUCAUAUUAUCAUAAUUGUCAUUUUAAAACAUGUAUAUUGAGCCAUGUUCAAGUUGUUAAUAAAUAGAUAAAGCCUCUUUUAUAACAAUUUGUAUUCAUAUUCAAAAACUGAAUUUUUUUUUAGAAAUUUAGGUCACAAACAAAAAUAAUAUAUCGUCAUUUAAGAUAAUUUGAAGACCAGUCAUUACUCAUGAGCACCUUGGAUGGGGUGAUCCUUUAUCAGCCCAAAUUCUCACUUCUCAUUCCCUUUCCUACCCAUCCCUCUUCUUUCUCUGGCGAAGUAUUUUCUUGAACAGACAGAGCCACAGAUAGCCCUGACCCUGUGUAUGGUCAAUAAAUAUCAAGAGAAUUUGGAAUGCUUCCAAAAGAGAAAUCUUUUUUAACAGUCUAAAGGAAGAGAUUAAAAACAAAAACAAAAAUAACACUCCACUCCUAGAUUCUAAACUGUGAUAUGUUCGUUGUGAGAGUGUGACUUUGAGAAUUGCAAGAAGAAAGGGCAGGGGGGAGGGGAAGGUGGAGCAGUGUGGUUGUUCAAACGAAUGUUGAAGAAUUAUGUCAUCCAAGACUGGUAUUUUCAUGAGUUUCUUGAUGCAAUAUCUAAUUAAAAUUAGUGUUUGCUUACUUUAAUAUUGCUUCAAUCUACUUUUAGCAAGAGGCUUGUAUCCAGUUUUAUGUAAUAUAUCUUUAAUUAAGUAUCUAAAAAUAAGUCACUCCUUAAAUUUAACUGCUAUCAUAUUUUCCCAGCUUAGAUUUACAUGAGCAAAAAAGAAGUUAGUAUUUUUAGCCUCAACAACUUGUUGCAAUAUAAAAGUUUUUGUCAUCUUAGGUUUAAAAUAAGGAAUUCAUGUAUUAAUAAAGGAGAUAAAAAAAUUUUAGAAAUAUUUUUACAGUAAACUGCAUUAAAAAUGUUUUCUCUUUGUAAAAAUUAGACCUUUCCUCUUCUAGCCAAAUUAAUUGGAUCUUGACUCUUUUGAAGGAAGCGAUUUUGAGAUGUUUAUUUUCUCAUUUAUCAACUUACAAGCACAUCUUUCUCCUUUGACACUUUCAUUCCAUUCAACUUGAUCUAACUCACUCUUUCCAAGAUCUGUGGCUAGCUUCUCCUUACUUCUUUUAAAUUAUUUUAAUUGAAAGAUAUCCUUCCUUUAUUCCCUGACAGUCUCUUCCAUGUACACCCAUGUACACGUUGCAAAAAUUGGCCUCACCACCCUUUCCAACGUAGCCAUCUUUUUCCAGUCUUCUUUCUACUUUCUCCAUCCUCUUCCCACCUUAGAUGUGCCUACCUUUGCCUCGCUCGGUAUUGCGUGGUAAGAGCCCCCCUUUGCCAUCUGCACUCUGCUUUGCAAACCCACUCUGUGGAUAGAUGUCAAGCAGAGCAGUUUAUUGUACUUCUUUGUAUAUAACUCUCCUUAAUAGUUUAUAAGCUGAAUUAUUUUUGUACUCCC